rnacentral:ribozyme from 1 species
CUCGCGCGAGGACUUCACCGCGAGGAGCGAGGCGGCGGAGAACGCGAAGAAGGCCAGAUUGCAGAACGCGCCCCGGGUC